AUUUGCACAGUACGGAAGCUUUAAGAUACAAUUUAUAAGUUGAUACACCCGAAGGUGAGUCCUAAUUUUGUCCAAUCUGUCAGAACACCGUCGAAUUCCUCGUAGUCACCACACCUUUGUGAUUCCUGAACCUGGAGGGGCGCAAAACCAAAAUUGAGUGGGUCAGUAAAACAAUUCUUUUCAAAUCCAAUUUUUUCUCAAAGCAUUGUAACCCCUCUCCGUAAAACCUGUAUACUUUCCCAGAAAUGUAAAAUAUAAAUAUACAUAUAUAUUCUCAAAAACUUCAAGUCGUUAACUCAACAUUUUCAUAACAAUUAUGUCAUGCCACAUCAUCUCAAACAUUUCUCAUAUUAAUUAUGCCAUGCCACAUCAUCUCAACAGUAAUAAGGUAUGAAUGCAUCAACAUAAUCAUAUCAGGUGCAAGAAAGUAAUCAACCGUAGGCCCUCUAAUAGCCCUGUACGGUUGAACCUAGAGCUCAAAAUCUAUCACUCUCACUCUCUGCCGGAGUCACUCCGCGUGACCUGUACGGCCUUCUGCACAUAAGUUACGCUCUAGUGCUUUUCAUAAUCAUCUGUGCACAUAAUCUAAGGUCACCCACCAGUCGGAAUCUCACUAACACUCUCGCGACUGGCCUGUCGUACCCACUCCGCGUGGACUGUACGACUAGCAUCUACUUGGAUCCAAGACGAGCGUGCGAUGCGGUGAAUACUAUAAGCACUAAACUAUGGUGCAUGAUUUGAGCUCAAUAUACAUCAACAUCAUCAUAACAGAAAUAAAUACUCACAUGUGCGUCCACCGCACCAUUUCAUACAUAUGCAUCAUAAAUCAAUUCUUACCUGUGCGUCCACCGCACCAAUUCAUACAUAUGCAUCAUAAAUCAAUUCUUACCUGUGCGUCCACCGCACCAAUUCAUACAUAUGCAUCAUAUAUUAAUUCAUGCAUGGCAUUUCAAUUCACAUUUCUAUAUACUUUUCAUAUCAAUUCUAUGCAUGGUAUUUCACUUCCCGUUUUUCCACAUAACUCAUAUGCAUUUCAUUUUAAACAUAUUUUCAUUUCAAUUCAAUUUCUGGGAAACGUCAAGUAUAUAUAUAUACGGAAAACAAAACUGCCCACUCACCUGGAGUUCGUCCAACAACUCCCUAGCACCACACAUCAAGGCGUCACGACGAUCGCCGCCUAGAAUAGUAAUCAAAUCCAACCUCAGAAUUCAUAUCGAUAGAAUAUAUAACUUAUAUAAAAUACGUCACUACGUAGUUCGAUCCGAAAGAUCUGCCACUCAGAUUUUAAAUCCAUAACUUCCAGAGGUCCACAAUAUAUCUCUAGGAUAACCUCCUAAAAUUUCAUUACCAUCCAACGGUCGGAUCUCCGUAAAUUUCCAAAACAAUUCCAAUUCCGGAAGAUCCGUAACUCGGAUUCCCAAUCCGUAAGUUCCAAUAAUCCUCAAAUAUUACGUAUUACAACGUAUCAAAGUUUGGUAACGAUCCAACGGUCGGAUCGUCAAUUCACAUUUUUACCUAAAUGUGAAAACUAUAAAACGUUAUUCGAACACCUAACCAACAAUCCUUAAUAACUUUCUCAUACGGUGCUCAAUUUGGGUAUAUGAAUAUACCACGGUGAUCUACUCGACGUCACGGACGUCGACAUAUUUUUAAAAUAAUUUUAUUUUUAUUUUUUUACUGUAGCACCUUCUUCUUCCUUGGGUCGCCGGACUGGUUUUUCCGGCGGCCGUUUUCCGGGCAGUUUUUCAAAUUUCCAUAACUUUGUCAUUUCUCAACGAAAUCAAGUGAUUCAAAAACGAGAGUUGUAGCCCUUGAAGAGACAAAGAGAAUGGUACCUUUCACAACACCUAGUUCGCCGUGGUUUGGCCGGAAACUGCCUCGAAAGCCUCGGAGGUCGCCGGAAACUGGGUAUUUUUCAAAUGAGUAUAACUUCUUCAAUACUCAACGAAAUUGAGUGAAACAAAAAGGAAAGUUGUAGUACUUGACGAGACGAAGAUAUUUAUACCUACCUCGACUCCUAACUCGCAGGGGAUUCGCCGGAAAAAGCCUCGAAAGCUCCGGCCAAACUUUGAACUUGUCGAUCUCCGUGUUCUUACGUCCAAAAACUUCCAACGAAGCACUCCGAGCUUCCUUGGGACUUCCUAAAGCUCACUAUGAGCUUGGUUUGGCCUAAAACACGACCAAUUCAAAGCUCAUGAACAGUACACAUUCACGGCAACUUUAGAAACUAGGGUUUUCGAAGUGAAACUUACUUGAAAUGGGUAUCAUCGUGAUCGUAUGGUCUUCAGGAGUACGAUGGCACUCUUAAAUCCGUCGUUGGUGGAAGUUUAGGGUGUUUUUGUGGUGGUCUUGGUGGUUGCCGUGUGUUCGAGAGGGUGAGAGAGAGAGAGAGAUCUGAAAUGGAAGAAGAAGAGAGAGAAGGGAAAGGUUACGGGUUUUAGGGAGUGUUUUGAGGUAUGAGGAUCCCACCUUAACCCAAACACAACAUUACAACCUAGUUUUUAGUCCCUAACACAAAUUAACCAUAGUUCAGGAACUUUAAAAAAAACAAAUGUCAUCUCUUUACACACCUUAAUCUCGUUUAAGGUCAUUUUUGAAAUUUCACGUCCUCGGAAUGAAAAAUCCCGGGACGAGCUGUGACAAUCUUCCCUCCUUAUAGAAUUUCGUCCCCGAAAUUCCAGCAACCAGCUAAAUUAACCAUACUCAUACAAUAGCCUCGGGUAAAUCUCUCUCAUCCGAUUCUCUUUCUCCCACGUAAUUUCUUCCACCGAAUAAUUUUCUUCACAAAAAACUUUUACCACUUACCCUGUUUUAAUUCUGAGGGCAUCACAAGCUUGUAAGCAACUUCACCAACUUUUCGAUAAUCACUUAAGUCCGAUUCACUUAGGAUUUAACUUACCUUCUUUCUCUACCUUGGUUAAUUCUUAAAUUUCUUCGUCAAGCAUUUAAGUUUCGAGUACGACCUUACCAAACAGGCCUAACUUGAAAUUUUAACAAGUAUAACUUCUUCUCGAUCUUCCCAUUCUUAAUUUUUCUUCCGUUGGUUUUCAAUUCACAAGAUGAUACUCUUGGCAAACGUGCCAGACAUUAAUCAUACUGUAGUCUUCUCACCAAGUGCUUCAGCUACAACAAUUCACGAUCACCCUGAUCGUACCAUCAUGUUCAUUAAGCAAUACAAUUCACCUUUGUUGCCUCAUAUCAAAAUCCUUCCGAAUAAACAAAUAUUGGAGACUCUUUUGAUUUGUAAAAUCUUGCAUUCUUUUCAACAUAUAAUGUCUCCACAACUUCACAGCAAGGAUGAUAAUCGUGACUUCCAAGUCACCAGUAGGGUAAUUCAUCUCAUUAGGUUCCAUUUGUCGUGAAACAUAUUCAAUCACCCUAACAUUUGCAUCAAUACAUCUCCAAGAAUAUUUAAUGUACCAUCACCAUAAACCAAUAAUUACCGCUAUCUUCUGGGAUUACUAAAAUACGUGCAUGAGUGAGGAAAUACUCCAGUUGUUGAAUCCUUUGCUCACAAUUUCCUUCCCACUCAUACAUAACCUCCUUUCUCAACAGUCUUGUCAAUGACAAAGCAAUGACUAAAAAUUCUUUCACAACCAUCCAAAAUAGCCUGAUAAGUUAAGAAUUUCCGAAUCUCAAUUAUGACUUGUGGUUGUUCCAAUUUCUCAAUUCUGCUGCCUUUUAAGAAUUCAUUUGAAUACCUUAAGCAGAUAUAACCAACCUCAGAAUGCCACCUGAUUCAUCUAACUUUCGCAUUUGCUAAACUUAGCAUAUAAUCGACAUUCUUCCAAUCUUUGUUCCACCGACUUAAUACAUUUACAUGCUCUGCUCUGGCUCAUAAUAUGCCAGAAUAUCUUCAACGAAAAUGAUAUCAAUUAUCAAAGCAUUAUUGGAAUACUUCAUCCAUCAACUCAUAAAACAGAAUGAGUAUCCAUAUAGCAUCACCAAACUUCAUAAAGACUAUAACAAGUCCAGAAAACUAUCUUAUGAUCAAUGUCGCUCAAAAUCUUCAAUUGGUAAUAACCAGACCUCAAUCAAUCUUUUGAAAAUACACAAAUACCUUUGAGCUGGUCAAACAAACAUCAACGCACCAUGGAUAACGGUUCUCGAUCGUUACCAAUUCCAUUGUCUAUAAUCAAUGCACAAUCUCUAAGUCCAUUUUCUUUUUCACCAACAAACUGGGGCUCCUCAAAAGUGUUGUACUAGGUUGAAUAAAACUUUUAUCAACCAAUUCUCUCAACUGAAUUUCCAAUUCCCUUAACUCAUCCUGAACCAAUCUCCAAUAUAAAUUUAUACCUGGUAACAAAUCAAUAAUGAACCUCAUAUCUCUGCCUGAAGACAAUCCAGGUAUACUUCAGGGAAGACAUCAAGAAAAGUCUAACCCCUUUUUCAUUUUUCACACUUCUCCGAGCAACAUCCUUUAGUACCACAUGAACUAAGUAUUUUUUUUUGGGCAGCCUUUCAAAACAAUCUCUUUGCUUUCACAGCAUAAAUAACGGCCUGACUCAAUCCACUUUGCAUACUUACAAAAGAAAUCCCUGGUCAUCCAGAUCGAUGGAAAAUACUGGUUUCCCGUAACAUUCCGUCUUGUCACAAUUAUAACCAACCAAUCUAAUGGAACAAAAUUAACUGAUACAAUAUAUAUUCUAUUAUUAUUAAGCAUUCUAAAUAAGUACAAUACUAACAUAAAAUAAUCUACCGGGUUGCUUGCUUAACGAAUCCACGAAUGAGUUAUUAAUAUUACGGUCUGCAGCCCGCAAAUACUGAUAAAUCAUCGUUGUCUCGAUAAGUAGGCAACCACUCUCAAAGAUAUAACAUUACUAUUUUGUCACUCAAUGCAAAAUACAUACACUCGUCUCAACUACAUUUAUUUACUACUCUCUAGGUAAUAACAUACAUAAUAAGAAAUAUAUCAGCCGAAGUCAACUAGAAUGACCAAUACGGCUGAUUCAACUCUUAUCUCAAUAAUACGUCGGUCGGAUCCACUCCGCGUGGUCGGUACGGCCGAGCCUAUAACUCACCAAUUUCUCAUGCGUCAGCCAGAUCCACCUCUCGUGGCCUGUAUGGCUGAACAUAUAACUCAUCAAAUCUCUCUGUACCCACGGUCAAUCCGACCAAACUACUAAAUCCAUAAACCUGCUGAAUCGAUACUACGAUGUCAUAGAAAACUGUUGGGUACAACUGAUUUUAGGGACGAUUCACAAUUCUGUGUCCCCUCUGUUCACAUAAACACAUUCAUUAAUUUCACACUUCCCAAAGUGUUAAUUUUGUACCUGCUGCACAAGGUACAUUUCCUGUACUCGAGACACCUUGUCUCAAAAAUCUGGGAUUACCAGUAUAUCCAUCACUUCGCCUCUGACUAGUGGCGUUAAAACCUCAGCUGGAAGAAUUAACUCUAGCUUCACUUCUUUCGAAGCUCUGAAUCUUUCUAUAUCCUUGAUAUGACGAAUCAUUAACUUUAUCGUCUUCUUUUGAUUCCCAUUCAUUUCUUAUUCUUCUUUAUUCUCGUUGCUCAUGUUCUCAGAGUCCUCAAGACUCAACAGCAUCUCGUAUAUUCCUGGUAAGAAGUACAAUGGAUAGUGGUCACCCAAAAUACCACUUCCCUUUUUGUCACCCAGCCUAAAACAACAUAACACCUCCACCAAAUUAACAACAAUAUCUGGAUGGAACGAGGCAAGUCUGAAAACUUUCUAUAAUAUCCCUCGAUCAUCACCUUCCUUGUCUCAUAUUUGUAAACUCUUGUUUACUACCAUCGAUAAAUGCCGGGGGAUAAACUUUUCCUUAAACAAGUCCUUAAAUAAUUCUCAAUCAACUGUUUCCUCCGGUGACAACAAUUAACAAUCCUGUUUCCACCAGGAUACAAAUUCAUACCCAAAACCAGGUAGUCGUCUCGACCCCUUGUCAGAAGGAAAUUUCCUUUAACUUGCAUAAUCUGAAACAUCUUUUCCAAACAGUUAAACCGUCACUUCGUUCCCUCAGGUUCAUUAUUUCAUAAGGUGAUUCAAAUUCGACUCAUAAUCCGUCUUAAAAUGUCCCUUUUUAUAAUAGACUGAAUCACCAUAAUAAUAGUUUCCCCUAAACCGCUAUAUUAGGGAGACUAAAUUCCUCUAACUAAGUGGCUUGCUACGAGGCGGUGUAGUUCUGACAGAAUUCACUAUAAACUUCUCAAGAUGUCCAAGAUUGCAACCAUGCUCUGAUACCAACUGACACACCCCGUCCCGAAGGAGGGCAUGCUGGCCGUCACGUGAGAGUGACGUAACCAUUUGCACAGUACGGAAGCUUUAAGAUACAAUUUAUAAGUUGAUACACCCGAAGGUGAGUCCUAAUUUUGUCCAAUCUGUCAGAACACCGUCGAAUUCCUCGUAGUCACCACACCUUUGUGAUUCCUGAACCUGGAGGGGCGCAAAACCAAAAUUGAGUGGGUCAGUAAAACAAUUCUUUUCAAAUCCAAUUUUUUCUCAAAGCAUUGUAACCCCUCUCCGUAAAACCUGUAUACUUUCCCAGAAAUGUAAAAUAUAAAUAUACAUAUAUAUUCUCAAAACUUCAAGUCGUUAACUCAACAUUUUCAUAACAAUUAUGUCAUGCCACAUCAUCUCAACAUUUCUCAUAUUAAUUAUGCCAUGCCACAUCAUCUCAACAGUAAUAAGGUAUGAAUGCAUCAACAUAAUCAUAUCAGGUGCAAGAAAGUAAUCAACCGUAGGCCCUCUAAUAGCCCUGUACGGUUGAACCUAGAGCUCAAAAUCUAUCACUCUCACUCUCUGCCGGAGUCACUCCGCGUGACCUGUACGGCCUUCUGCACAUAAGUUACGCUUUAGUGCUUUUCAUAAUCAUCUGUGCACAUAAUCUAAGGUCACCCACCAGUCGGAAUCUCACUAACACUCUCGCGACUGGCCUGUCGUACCCACUCCGCGUGGACUGUACGACUAGCAUCUACUUGGAUCCAAGACGAGCGUGCGAUGCGGUGAAUACUAUAAGCACUAAACUAUGGUGCAUGAUUUGAGCUCAAUAUACAUCAACAUCAUCAUAACAGAAAUAAAUACUCACAUGUGCGUCCACCGCACCAUUUCAUACAUAUGCAUCAUAAAUCAAUUCUUACCUGUGCGUCCACCGCACCAAUUCAUACAUAUGCAUUAUAAAUCAAUUCUUACCUGUGCGUCCACCGCACCAAUUCAUACAUAUGCAUCAUAUAUUAAUUCAUGCAUGGCAUUUCAAUUCACAUUUCUAUAUACUUUUCAUAUCAAUUCUAUGCAUGGUAUUUCACUUCCCGUUUUUCCACAUAACUCAUAUGCAUUUCAUUUUAAACAUAUUUUCAUUUCAAUUCAAUUUCUGGGAAACGUCAAGUAUAUAUAUAUACGGAAAACAAAACUGCCCACUCACCUGGAGUUCGUCCAACAACUCCCUAGCACCACACAUCAAGGCGUCACGACGAUCGCCGCUAGAAUAGUAAUCAAAUCCAACCUCAGAAUUCAUAUCGAUAGAAUAUAUAACUUAUAUAAAAUACGUCACUACGUAGUUCGAUCCGAAAGAUCUGCCACUCAGAUUUUAAAUCCAUAACUUCCAGAGGUCCACAAUAUAUCUCUAGGAUAACCUCCUAAAAUUUCAUUACCAUCCAACGGUCGGAUCUCCGUAAAUUUUCCAAAACUAAGUGACGGUUAACAUUUUAUAUUAUGGACUUACAAUUCCAAUUCCGGAAGAUCCGUAACUCGGAUUCCCAAUCCGUAAGUUCCAAUAAUCCUCAAAUAUUACGUAUUACAACGUAUCAAAGUUUGGUAACGAUCCAACGGUCGGAUCGUCAAUUCACAUUUUUACCUAAAUGUGAAAACUAUAAAACGUUAUUCGAACACCUAACCAACAAUCCUUAAUAACUUUCUCAUACGGUGCUCAAUUUGGGUAUAUGAAUAUACCACGGUGAUCUACUCGACGUCACGGACGUCGACAUAUUUUUAAAAUAAUUUUAUUUUUAUUUUUUUUUACUGUAGCACCUUCUUCUUCCUUGGGUCGCCGGACUGGUUUUUCCGGCGGCCGUUUUCCGGGCAGUUUUUCAAAUUGCCAUAACUUUGUCAUUUCUCAACGAAAUCAAGUGAUUCAAAAACGAGAGUUGUAGCCCUUGAAGAUACAAAGAUAAUGGUACCUUGCACAACACCUAGUUCGCCGUGGUUUGGCCGGAAACUGCCUCGAAAGCCUCGGAGGUCGCCGGAAACUGGGUAUUUUUCAAAUGAGUAUAACUUCUUCAAUACUCAACGAAAUUGAGUGAAACAAAAAGGAAAGUUGUAGUACUUGACGAGACGAAGAUAUUUAUACCUACCUCGACUCCUAACUCGCAGGGGAUUCGCCGGAAAAAGCCUCGAAAGCUCCGGCCAAACUUUGAAUUUGUCGAUCUCCGUGUUCUUACGUCCAAAAACUUCCAACGAAGCACUCCGAGCUUCCUUGGGACUUCCUAAAGCUCACUAUGAGCUUGGUUUGGCCUAAAACACGACCAAUUCAAAGCUCAUGAACAGUACACAUUCACGGCAACUUUAGAAACUAGGGUUUUCGAAGUGAAACUUACUUGAAAUGGGUAUCAUCGUGAUCGUAUGGUCUUCAGGAGUACGAUGGCACUCUUAAAUCCGUCGUUGGUGGAAGUUUAGGGUGUUUUUGUGGUGGUCUUGGUGGUUGCCGUGUGUUCGAGAGGGUGAGAGAGAGAGAGAUCUGAAAUGGAAGAAGAAGAGAGAGAAGGAAAGGUUACGGGUUUUAGGGAGUGUUUUGAGGUAUGAGGAUCCCAC
rnacentral:lncRNA from 1 species